CAGGUAGCGGAUGAAUUCACCCACUGGCUGAUUCUCAUAGCAUGUCUUGUACACAGCCGUGAACAGAGGGAACCUAGAACGGGGAAGGACAGACCCAGCUUGACCUCCAGGGCCCACCUUUCCUGUUCGGGCGAAGGCCUCAGCCACCUUGCGGUUCCGCCCUCCGUAGCAGGUAGUGAUGAGGUCAGCAACACCACAGCUCUCCA